rnacentral:lncRNA from 1 species
CUGCCAUGUGACAAGCAGUUCUGCAGGUGCACUUUAUGGCCCAUUCUCUACCAUGGUUGUUGCUCCUCCUUGGUCUUUUCAUAGGGUCAGGAACACUGGGAGAAGAUACAGUGGGGAAGAUAUCCUUGGGGAGUUGGCCACUUGGCCCCUGGAGGUCCCAGCAGAGCAAGAGGUAGAAAGUGUUACAUGGAGCUCUUGAGAGCGUGUUGCUGUUUUACAACAAGGAUGAACAGACAAACCAGUUCUGGUUUCUGAGACUCAGGGACCCUACAGUGGAUGACUGAACAUUCCCCACCACAGCUACUCUCUUCAGAUCAGCCCCCUGAGGCUGCAGGACUAUAAGCCUAUAAGCCUGGGUAACUCUGCAUACUUCCUCAAUCAUUAUCACCAGGGAUUUCACCCUGCUUGUCUAUGGUAAGGAGGGCUGGAGGGCCCCACAUUUGAAACUGAGCUUUCCUCUACCCUGUUUGGCCAGACCAGAGCCUUCUCAUAGCUCAAGCUUUCCCUUCUUGGUUCAGAGAUGCUGUAGGAGUUGAACAUCUUUGCCAGCUCCCAGAUCAUGAAGGAUGGGACCUGCUUCAUCACCCUGGCCUGCUCCCUGGAACAGGCUGGAGAGAAUGUGCAGAACAGCUGGGAGCCUCCUAGUCAUGGGGCAGUUGUGUCCCAUGGGGGGACCACUCUCAGUGUCCCCUGGAUAUCUGGGGAAAGUGAGAGCUAUCACUGCACUGCCAGGAAUCCCACCAGCCAGAGCUCCAGCUCUGUCCUUACCAGACCCCUUUGCUCAGCCUCCUUUGUACCCCACUCCCUGAGGAAAGAAUUUCUUCCUUUUUUGAUUCUGGGAGUUUUGGGGAUUGAAUAGAUUUCACCUGGACAUGGGGAGAAACCAAGAAGAGAAGUACGAGAUGGCGGCCAUCCUGUGAGACACAGAGUUAAAGAAGUUCGCAUGUGGAGUGCUGCCUGAGGCCAGCAUUUCCUGGUGUGAGAGAAGGACAUUGACACUGAUUAAGGCAUAAACCCUAUUUCAUUUACAAACUGAGUUCAAAAUUAUCAGGAAACUGCUAUGUGUCUUCUGUUUAAAAUAAUCUGUUUAUGUUUUAUUGAAGUGUGUUUUUAAGUGUUCAGAAAGAAAAAGGAGCUUAUUUAUUUAAGAAAAAUUGAAUGGAACAUAAAAACAUUGUUAUUGUCACACA